UACAGAGGGUGCGAGCGUUGUCCGGAAUCACUGGGCGUAAAGGGCGCGUAGGCGGCUUGAUAAGCGUGCGGUGAAAGCCUGGGGCUCAACCCCGGGUCGGCCGUGCGAACUGUUUUGCUUGAGCACUGUAGAGGCAGGCGGAAUUCCGGGUGUAGCGGUGGAAUGCGUAGAGAUCCGGAAGAACACCGGUGGCGAAGGCGGCCUGCUGGGCAGUAGCUGACACUGAGGCGCGACAGCGUGGGGAGCAAACAGG
rnacentral:rRNA from 1 species